GGCAGUUUGGCCGAGUGGUCUAAGGCGAUUGACUGUUCGUACCCCACAUGAUCCCACUUACGUCAACAUCCACUAAUCCCCAAUCCAGCGAAUGGUCUCAAUCUCAGAUUGUCCUCGUUAUCAAUUCUCUUCGGAGGCGCAGGUUCGAAUCCUGCAGCUGUCG
rnacentral:tRNA from 1 species